AAGUGCCCUUAACACCUUGUAUGGCUUGGAAUUGGACCUAGAACUUUGUAUGUUUAACCUACAACCACCAAAACACAUGAUUCAUGGAAAAAAAUGAGUUUAUGUCCGUAAACUCAUGUGUUUAAGGUAGUAAACUCAUCAAGAACAUCUUCAUAAACCGUAAACUCCUUUCCAAGGUCAUUUCAAGUCCCGAUCACUUCCUAAGCCAUGGAACCAACCCUAGAACUUCCCUUUAUGCAUUGUAAUACCAUUUAGCAUCCAAGAACACACUACCCAUGAGUUUAUGGGCGUAAACUCAUGGGGAUAUGGUUAUUGGACCGUAAACUCCCCUAAGGGCUUACACUUGAAGAGUAAACUCCUUAUUUAGGCCCUACACACCCUUAAAUGCAACCUGGGUCAUUCUAAACGCUUGAUAUAAAGUGUUUUCGCGCCUCGGAGUGUAUAUUCUUAAUUAUUUAGUAUUUCAAAGUCUAAUUAGAUAAAAUUUAUGUAUCUCUUCAUAUUACAUAGGAACCUCACGUGUUGUCAAGCCCCGAACUGACACUUAGCAUCCUAGCCGACACAUUUCUCGUCUGGUGAGUUCAUACCCCUAUACCUUUUUCCGUGUUUUCAAUGUUUUCAGGGGGAAUACAAGCAAAACUACAUGGAAAUCUUGUACUUAAACUUAUUAUUUCAUUUGAUAUAUUUCAUAUUUUGUAUGCUUUUAACACUGUAAACGGUAUUAACCGACCGUUUAACUUGCAGAGUUAGCCUUCACACUGUUUGUGAAUCCCGUUAUAAAAUGUUAUAUUUUAUAUUUCACAAAUGAUUUUUCCACAUCUUUUCUGUUAAAAGCAUUAGCUUAGUACUUUUGAUUUGUCCUCGGUAACACUCCACAGAGAUACAGGAGUGGAGGACCACCUUUUGUAAAAGUAUUUUUUUGCAUUAUUACUUGUAAAUUUGUUAUUCUUAAAAAUUGGAGACACAUCCUCGGAAACACUCCACAGAGAUACGCAAGUGGAGGACCGCCCUAUAACCAGAAUCUCCUGGAGAGCGUGACUUGAGUAUAUAGAUCUAUACGGGGCUGACUACCUCGCACCUGGCUGCUAGCUACAGUCGACCCGAAAGGUUCAAGGGUGACGAAAAUCAUAAAAUGAUAUUGGACUUCUUAUUCCUAUAUCUAGUCUGUCGUAUGGUUAUGGAACUCGUAAUUUAGACAACAGAGAUUUACUUGUUGGUAAUAAUGUAUUUAGUAAGCUAAUAACCUUAAGAAUUAGUUUACUUUCCACACAAUAGUUUUAUAUACGUGUUAAAACUAACUUACAUUUCAAGGAUAACCAGGCUUUCAGGAAACUUCACACAAACACUUUAAGUAUGGUAGAUACUUGUACACUUCAUUGUGGAUCAAUAACCAACCACCAACUUUCAGGAAAAUAAGUGUUUUUCCUGGGAUAACUUAACUGUUCUUCACCAACUGUGUAACAUUGGAUAACUAGACUUUUCUUAUAAGAAAAUAUGGGAUUUUCUUUGAUAACGACUUUUUUAGAAAACUAAAAGAAACUUGUUCAUUUUCAGAAAACAAACCGCUUAUGAACUCACUAGCUUUAUGCUGAUUUUCAAACUGCUUGUAUUCUCAAGUUCUCCUUAGACAGGUAUCCCGAGUUCUUUUGUAGAAGACGGAGCAUAUGGAAGUCACGUCUUUACUUUUGUUUAGACUAUUAUAUCUAUAAAACAUGUAUUACCUUACUUUAAAAAAAAUGUAAUGAUUCUAUGUAAUGUAAUGUUUUGAGUUUACUAUGCUUACUAUGUACAUCAGUUGUGAUACUUAACAUGACGUCCUCCGCCCCAGAACGUUUCCGCCAUCGGUUUUGGGGAGUGACAGAUUGGUAUUAGAGCCCUUGUUUAUAGUGAACUAGUAUACCAAACCAUACAUGGUAUAAGACUAUAAACACUAAGGGGCCGAAGUGCUCUGAACUAAAAGUAUACUUUAAGAUAUAAGUAUUUUUCAAAAGUAUACAAGUAUACCUAACCGCCGGAAUCCGUAACCUCGAGUAGAACAAAACAUAAGUAAUUUGGUGUUGUACGUUGCGGUUAAACCUGGGCAAUUAUGUAGUCGUGUCUAGGGUCAAUAUAGCCUGAUCAACUAUAUUCAUUUGAGACACGGCCAACAUGUGCUUGGGAGUGACUGUGGUGUGCAGCAUGCCUAAAACUUACCAUAUACCCAAACAAUGAGUCGUCAUCGCAAAAAACCAUAAAAUACUAUAGGAGUAUUUUAGCCACAGCCGAAUACGUUGUAGAUGUUCGUUCCGAGUGUUGCUACUCAUUCCUUCCUUAGCGAUAGUUUAUCUGCUUUGAUAACUCCUUCCUGUUUUAUCGCUUAGUAGAUCAUUAUACCUGUCAUAUUGAGAUAUCUCUUGUUCCAUAUCUCUUGAUUCAAUUCAGAGGACUUAUGAUCCUCUCUUUCCUAAUCAUUCUAGAUCAUCAUGCCUCCAAAGAAAGGACCCAACUCAAGGAACAACAACUCUCCACCACCAUAUCCUUCUCAAUUCGACCUUAUCCUAUUUCAGGCAGUUGUUACUACUGCGGUGAGGGCUGCAAUGGUGCUUUUGAACCCUAGCAGGUAGAGUGGACUAGGAAGUAACACCUAUCCCCAAAACCAUGAAGAUGAUCAGGAGUACCAGAAUGAGCGUAAUGAGAGUAAAAAGGUUUUCUGGAAAAAGCGAAAGGGUCAGAGUUCACAAGGACCCUCCAAGAAGCACAAAACAGUAGCAGUUCAAGCUGUUACUACUCCUGUCACUGCUCCUACAUCUCAAGCACCUACCACUAGGUAUGCUGGUAACCUCCCUUGGUGCAACCGGUGUAGUUACCACCAUCGUAUCCCCAGCCCAUGUCAUGAAAAGCUUUGCAACAACUGUGGCAAGAAGGGCCACCUUGCGCAAAACUACAAAGCACCGGCUCAACCAACCAAUCAAGCUUCCGGAUCAAGUUCCGAUCAGGUCUGCUAUGGUUGUGGAGAAGUCGGGCAUUUCAAUAGGAACUGCCCCAAGACAGCAACAGCUAGCAACACUGGGAUAGCUUUGUUAUGAAGCAGGAGGAGGUAGUCGCCGAUCCCACCAUCGCCGCGGGUACGUUUCUUUUCGACAAUUCUUAUACUCACAUCCUUUUCGAAUCUAGUGCCAAAGAAAUUUUAUUAUUCGUUCAUUCAAGCGUCUUCUUAAACAUAGUCCUCUUUUAAUAACCGAAACAUUUACUGUCAAGAUAGCUAACGGUGAGAAAGAAUAUGUCAACGAUAGAUUCAUGGGUUGUACCCUUACUCUGAACGAUCAUUCUUUCCCCAUUGACCUAAUGUUAGUUUCAAUAAAGAGCUUUGAUGUUAUCGUUGGCAUGGAUUGAUUGAGUCCCAAUCAUGCUGAUAUCCUUUGUUACAAAAGGCCAUCCGUCUCAAUCUCCCCUCUGACCAGACUCUUAUGAUCUACGAUGAUAAACUUAGUUCAAAUCUUUGUAUCAUUUCUUGCAUCAAAGCUCAAAAGCUCUUGCGAAAGGAGUGUUACGCAUUACUGGCUCAUAUAAUCAAUGAGAAAGAGGAAGUUAAAGACCUCGAGAGCAUCCCCGAAUUCUGCAACUUUCCUGAUGUCUUUCUUGAAGAACUUCUAGAAAUUCCUCCCGAACGCAAGUCGAGUUUCGCAUUGACCUAAUUCCUUGAGCUACCCCCGUAGCCAAGUCUCCAUAUCGCUUAGCCCCAGCAGAAAUGCAUGAGUUAUCCGGUCAACUCAAUGAGUUUCUCGACAAAGGGUUCAUCAGACCAAGUUCCUCAUCCUGGGGAGCUCUGGUAUUGUUGUGAAGAAGAAAGAUGGAUCCUUUCGGAUGUGCAUAGACUACUGCGAGUUGAACAAGUUGGCAGUCCAAAAACUGAUAUCCUCUUCCUCGAAUAAAUGACCCCUUCAAUCAACUUCAGGGAGCCAGUUACUUUACGAAAAUAAACCUCAGAUCAGGGUACCAUCAACUUCGAGUUCACGAGAAUGAUGUUUCCAAGACGACAUUCAGGACUCGAUAUGGACACUACGAGUUCGUAGUAAUGCCCUUCGGCCUAACCAUUUUCCUUGGUCACAUAGUAAGCGAAGAAGGCAUAACCGUGGACCCGUACAAAAUCAAGGCGAUAGAGAAUUGGUCAGCACCGAAGACACCCACAGAAAUCCAUCAAUUCUUGGGUCUCGCUGCCUACUAUCGCAGGUUCAUCCAGAAUUUUUCCAGAAUCGCCAAACCCUUAACUACUUUGAGACAAAAAGACUUAAACAUGAGACAACGGCGAUGGGUAGAGAUGCUCAGUGUUUAUGAGUGUGAAAUCCGCUACCAUCUCGGCAAAGCCAAUGUGGUAGCAGAUGCCCUGAGCCGAAAGGAGAGUUCAAGUUUCAAGGCGAAGACAUUAACGAUGACCAUCAAUUCCCACUUGUCCGCUCAGAUCCGAGAAGCCCAGUUGGAAGCCCUAAAACUAGAGAACAUGUCAAACGAAGCCUUGAGAGGAAUGGAUAAGAAUUUUGAGGUCAGAGAUGGCGGAGUCUAUUGUUUCAUGAAUCGGACCUGGAUCCCAAAGUUCGGAGGAUUUAGGGAAGUUGUCAUCAAUGAAGCUCACAAGACCAAAUACUUUGUUCACCCAGGUUCGGACAAGAUGUACCUGGACCUCAAGAAACAAUACUGGUGGCCAAACUUGAAAGCCGAGAUCGCUACCUUCGUGGGCAAGUGUCUGAAUUACUCCAAGGUAAAAGUCGAGUAUCAGAAGCCCUCGGGUCUGCUCCAAUAGCCUGAGAUUCCCAAAUGGAAGUGGGAGAUGAUUACCAUUGAUUUCAUCACCAAGUUACCCAAAUCUCCGAGUGGGUAUGAUACCAUUUGGGUAAUUGUCGAUCGUUUGACAAAACUCGCUCACUUCAUCCCGAUCAAAGAAUCAUUCAAGAUGGAAAGACUCACGGGAGUCUACAUCCAAGAGAUAGUCCGAAUGCACGGUGUGCCUGUGUCCAUUAUCUCCGACCGAGAUAUCAGGCUUACCUCAAGGUUCUAGCAGUCCCUUCAGAAAGCUCUUGGAACUAAGCUGGACAUGAGUACAGCUUAUCAUCCUCAGAAUGACGGACAGAGUGAGAGAACUAUUCAGACCCUGGAGGACAUGCUGAGAGCAUGUGUCAUCGAUUUCGGAAAGUCGUGGGAAAUCCAUUUACCCUUGAUCGAGUUCUCGUAUAACAACAGCUACCACACCAGUAUCAAGGCUAGCCCGUUCGAAGCCCUCUACGGUCGUAAGUGCAGAUCCCCUCUAUGUUGGGCUGAGGUAGGGGACACGCAGCUAUCCAAGAGUCGAGUCCCCGAGAGCGCUCUCACUGGUCCUGAAAUCAUCCGUGAAACCACCGAGAAGAUCAUCCAAAUCCGAGAACGACUAAAAGCUUCACAAAACAAACAGAAGAGUUACGCCGAUAAAUGAUGAAAACCCUUAGAAUUCCAGGUUGGAGAUCGUGUCCUGUUGAAGUUCUCGCCCUGGAAAAGGCAUGAUAUUCUUUAGAAAGCAUGGAAAACUUAACUCGAGGUACAUAGGACCUUCGAGAUCCUCGCUAGGAUCGGUCCUGUAGUCUAUAACUCCGACUAUCUCCAGAAUUUAGCGACAUCCAUCCUGUCUUCCACGUCUAUAAUCUUAAAAGUGUCUAUCCGACGAAACCCUAAUAAUCCCUCUUGACAAGAGCGAGAUCAACGAAAUUCUGAACUUCAUGGAAGAACCAAUCGAAAUCAUAGAUCGAGAGAUUAAACUUACAAAACAAAGUCGUAUCCCGAUAAGUGAAGGUUCGCUGGAAUGCCAUGCGAGGACCCGAGUUCACUUGGGAGCGCGAAGACUCGAUGAAACAUAAAUAUCCGCAUCUCUUUCCAAAUCCAUGACUUGUAUCUUAAAUUUUAAAUUUCGGGACGAAAUUCCCUCUGACGGGGGGAUAAUGUGACAACCUGAAAUUUAUUCCGUCACGAUAUUCCAUUUCCGUUAGUAAAACCGUUCGUAUUUUAAUUUUUCCGUUAACUAUCGAUUUAAAUUAAUUAAAGAGGGACUUUCUAAUAUGACAUCGUGAGUAUCCAAACCCAUUAGAAACACGUGAAAACAUCCCAAAUGUUUAUUUGGAAAAAUUUUAAGUUUCGACCACGUCGGGUUACGACAAUUAAUCGGGUACGACCAUAAGCCUCGUUUAACGACAGUAUCGUGUAGAUUUCCACCGGGCCACAAACUCAAGCCUUAUAUAAAGGAUGAGUGAAUUUCACUUUAUCUUUUCAGCACCACCUCAUAACUUUCUCUCUCUACUCUCUCUCUUUCUCUCUCUCUCUCUAAAACUCGAGUUUGAUCCAAAAACGCCUCUUCAAGCUUCCAAAAUUGUAAGUAAUCUACCCUACCUUGUUGUUUAACUUGUUAGGCAUGCAAAUCUAUGUUUAAAUCACCCAAAACACUCUAUAACAAGUGUUUACAGUUUGGUAACACCUCCCAAAACCGUGAACUCCCUUAGAUGGGGUUUUGAAGCCCCAAAACCCUUCCAAGUCCCUUCUAGUGCUUAGAUAUGGAUUAAGGGCUUUCAUGAAUGCAUUUAGAGCACCAAAAUCUUACCAUUUGAGGAGUAAACAUGAGUUUACGACCCAAGAACAUGCUUGGACCGUAAAACCUCAUUCAUAGACCAUAAACACCUUUUAAGGUGUUAAAUUGCCCCUUAAACACCUCCAAAAGCUUCCAUGAGUGCAUAGAACCUUAUAUUCCUUCAAGAGAUGCACCAAAACAUACACAAAUGAGUCACACUUGAUUUUACGGUUUGGGAAGGUCUCCCAAAACCGUAAACACCCCUUCUUAGACCAUAAACACCUCCAAAGGGUGUUAAAGUGCCCUUAACACCUUGUAUGGCUUGGGAAUGGACCUAGAACUUUGUAUGUUUAACCUACAACCACCAAAACACAUGAUUCAUGGACAAACAUGAGUUUAUGGUCCUAAAAUCAUGUGUUUAAGGUAUUAAACUCAUCAAGAACAUCUUCAUAAACCGUAAACUCCUUUCCAAGUUCAUUUCAAGUCCCAAUCACUUCCUAAGCCAUGGAACCAACCCUAAAACCUCCCCUUAUGCAUUGUAAGACCAUUUAGCAUCCAAGAACACACCACCCAUGAGUUUACGGAUGUAAACUCAUGGAGAUAUGGUCAUUGGACCGUAAACUCCCCUAAGGGCUUACUCUUGAAGAGUAAACUCCUUAUCUAGGCCCUACACACCCUUAGAUGCAACCCAGAUCAUUCUAAACACUUGAUAUAAAGUGUUUUCGCGCCUCAGAGUGUAUAUU
rnacentral:lncRNA from 1 species